GAUGAACGCUGGCGGCGUGCCUAAUACAUGCCAGUCGAGCGAACGGACGAGAAGCUUGCUUCUCUGAUGUUAGCGGCGGAUGGGUGAGUAAUACGUGGAUAACCUACCUAUAAGACUGGGAUAACUUCGGGAAACCGGGGCUAAUACCGGAUAAUAUUUUGAACCGCAUGGUUCAAAAGUGAAAGACGGUCUUGCUGUCACUUAUAGAUGGAUCCGCGCUGCAUUAGCUAGUUGGUAAGGUAACGGCUUACCAAGGCAACGAUGCAUAGCCGACCUGAGAGGAUGAUCGGCCACACUGGAACUGAGACACGGUCCAGACUCCUACGGGAGGCAGCAGUAGGGAAUCUUCCGCAAUGGGCGAAAGCCUGACGGAGCAACGCCGCGUGAGUGAUGAAGGUCUUCGGAUCGUAAAACUCUGUUAUUAGGGAAGAACAUAUGUGUAAGUAACUGUGCACAUCUUGACGGUACCUAAUCAGAAAGCCACGGCUAACUACGUG
rnacentral:rRNA from 1 species